rnacentral:rRNA from 1 species
GAUGAACGCUGGCGGCGUGCCUAACACAUGCAAGUCGAACGGAGUCGUUUUGGAAAUCUCUUCGGAGAUGGAAUUCUCGACUUAGUGGCGGACGGGUGAGUAACGCGUGAGCAAUCUGCCUUUAAGAGGGGGAUAACAGUCGGAAACGGCUGCUAAUACCGCAUAAAGUAUCAAAUUCGCAUGUUUUUGAUGCCAAAGGAGCAAUCCGCUUUUAGAUGAGCUCGCGUCUGAUUAGCUGGUUGGCGGGGUAACGGCCCACCAAGGCGACGAUCAGUAGCCGGACUGAGAGGUUGAACGGCCACAUUGGGACUGAGACACGGCCCAGACUCCUACGGGAGGCAGCAGUGGGGAAUAUUGCGCAAUGGGGGGAACCCUGACGCAGCAACGCCGCGUGAUUGAAGAAGGCCUUCGGGUUGUAAAGAUCUUUAAUCAGGGACGAAGCAAAUGACGGUACCUGAAGAAUAAGCUCCGG